rfam:Archangium gephyra strain DSM 2261, complete genome.
UCCGGGAUCGUCUAACGGCAGGACAGCGGGCUUUGACCCCGCGGAUGCAGGUUCGACCCCUGCUCCCGGAA